ACUAUGCUCCAGCUUCUGAAGAACCUUAGAUUUCAUGCGCAAGGUAAGGAAAUAACCGACGCCGACAUUUUGAAUUGGGCAAACAGAAAAGUUAAGAAGGCAGGUAGAUCAUCCCAAAUGGAGAGCUUUAAGGACAAGAACCUUUCGACUGGGAUUUUCUUUCUUGAGCUUCUUAGUUGUGUGGAGCCAAGGGUGGUCAGCUGGAGUCUUGUCACGAAAGGGGAAACUGAUGAGGAUGAGAAGUUAAAUGCCACAUAUAUAAUCAGUGUUGCUAGAAAGCUCCGGUGUUCCAAUUCUCGUUACCUGAGGACAUUAUAGAGGUAAACCAGAAGAUGAUCCUCACUUUAACAGCGAGCAUCAUGUAUUGGAGCCUGCAGCAACAGGCAGGUGAAUCAGAGACCGGUGAAUCCUCUGAUCUAGAUGCAUCACCAGUGAGUUCUGUAAACAGCGAAAAUGACA